AGCUGAUAUCAGGCCCCGCCCAAGACAUCUAGCCACGCCACACCCACAAGGGCUCUCAGCAGUGAUCAACCUUAAGAAUAAACGUCAGUUUGACUUAGUUAAAGAAGCAGAGCCGGCCAAUCCGGUGCCAGCCGCCGCGGUUACACCUGAGGCUCAAAUUGAUACCCGGCGUAAAGCGUGGUUAAAGUGGGGUCAAACUUAAAUUAAACUGUAAUACGAUUAUUCUUAAGGCCUACCUCGAAAGAUACCCUAAUUAACCUACUUGAACCCACGACAACUAGACCACAAACUGGGAUUAGAUACCCCACUAUGCCUGUCGUAAACUUUAACUUCCGCCAGAAAACUACGAGCAAAGCUUAAAACCCAAAGGACUUGACGGUGCCCCACAUCCUUCUAGAGGAGCCUGUCCUACAACCGAUACCCCCCGUUUAACCUCACCACCCUUAGUUCAGCUUGUAUACUUCCGUCGUCAGCUUACCGCAUGAGCGAAAGUAAGCUUAACGCAUCAAUACGUCAGGUCAAAGUGCAGCACAUAGUGUGGCAAGAGAUGGGCUACACUUUCUACCCUAGAAAAUACGAAAGACUACAUGAAAUCAGAAGGCGGAUUUAGCAGUAAGGGGGAAUAGAGUGCCCCCCUUAACUGGCACUGGGGUGUGUACACACCGCCCGUCACCCUCUUCAACAAAGUUCUUAACAACUAAUAGAAGAGGCAAG
rnacentral:rRNA from 1 species